AAGUCGAACGGUAACAGGAAGCAGCUUGCUGCUUUGCUGACGAGUGGCGGACGGGUGAGUAAUGUCUGGGAAACUGCCUGAUGGAGGGGGAUAACUACUGGAAACGGUGGCUAAUACCGCAUAACGUCGCAAGACCAAAGAGGGGGACCUUCGGGCCUCUUGCCAUCAGAUGUGCCCAGAUGGGAUUAGCUUGUUGGUGAGGUAACGGCUCACCAAGGCGACGAUCCCUAGCUGGUCUGAGAGGAUGACCAGCCACACUGGAACUGAGACACGGUCCAGACUCCUACGGGAGGCAGCAGUGGGGAAUAUUGCACAAUGGGCGCAAGCCUGAUGCAGCCAUGCCGCGUGUAUGAAGAAGGCCUUCGGGUUGUAAAGUACUUUCAGC
rnacentral:rRNA from 1 species